CAGGUCCAGCUGCAGCAGUCUGGGCCUGAGCUGGUGAGGCCUGGGGUCUCAGUGAAGAUUUCCUGCAAGGGUUCCGGCUACACAUUCACUGAUUAUGCUAUGCACUGGGUGAAACAGAGUCAUGCAAAGAGUCUAGAGUGGAUUGGAGUUAUUAGUACUUACUAUGGUGAUGCUAGCUACAACCAGAAGUUCAAGGACAAGGCCACAAUGACUGUAGACAAAUCCUCCAGCACAGCCUAUAUGGAACUUGCCAGACUGACAUCUGAGGACUCUGCCGUCUAUUACUGUGCAAGA